rnacentral:rRNA from 1 species
AUUGAACGCUGGCGGCAUGCCUUACACAUGCAAGUCGAACGAGACCUUCGGGUCUAGUGGCGCACGGGUGCGUAACACGUGGGAAUUUGCCUCGGGGUAUGGAAUAACUCAGGGAAACUUGAGCUAAUACCAUAUAAUGUCUUCGGACCAAAGAUUUAUCGCCCUGAGAUAAGCCCGCGUAGGAUUAGCUAGUUGGUGGGGUAAAGGCUCACCAAGGGCGACGAUCCUUAGCUGGUCUGAGAGGAUGAUCAGCCACACUGGGACUGAGACACGGCCCAGACUCCUACGGGAGGCAGCAGUGGGGAAUCUUAGACAAUGGGGGGAAACCCUGAUCUAGCCAUGCCGCGUGAUCGAUGAAGGCCUUAGGGUUGUAAAGAUCUUUCAGUGGGGAAGAUAAUGACGGUACCCACAGAAGAAGCCCCGGCCUAACUCCGUGCCAGCAGCCGCGGUAAAGUGACUACUG